UUCGUGUGUGUUCUAGAUCGAUCAGGAGACUCCCAUGGAGUCUCAAACCCUAAACAUGAAAGAUCAUCAAAUUGGAAGGCUAAAUGAUGCUUAAACUCAUAACCGAGCAUGGAUUAAUGAUCACCAACACGAGGGGAUCAUAAGAAUGAUGUAUUAUGAAUCACGUCGAGACGGGCGCAAGCAUGAGAUGUUAACGGGUCAAUAAGAGGCAAGGAAUCGGAUGCGAGCACGGACGCA
rnacentral:lncRNA from 1 species